CCUCGUUGUAUGGUUCAAGAGAUCGCAAGAAAUUCGGAGUUUCUUUGACGAGGGUUUUCCGGUGGAUGGAGGAUGAUGUCGAAGCUGAGCUCCAAGACGAGCAAGACUAAAAAAGCUGUUGGACCCAUAAGAAGGCAAUCGACAAAUGAUACUAGGCUGGAACCUACUGCAAAUAGCAAUAUGUCAAGCCAACAACCUAUCAGAUCUGUUAGAUGGAUGGC